rnacentral:rRNA from 1 species
GAGUUUGAUCCUGGCUCAGGACGAACGCUGGCGGCGCGCCUCAUACAUGCAAGUCGAACGUGAAGUCCGGAGCUUGCUCCGGAUGGAAAGUGGCGAACGGGUGAGGAACACGUGAGGAACCUGCCCCGAAGACCGGGAUAACACCGGGAAACCGGUGCUAAUACCGGAUGCCCUCACCGGAUCUCAUGAUCCGGUGAGGAAAUGGAUUCCGCUUCGGGAUGGCCUCGCGGCCUAUCAGCUUGUUGGUGGGGUAACGGCCCACCAAGGCUUCGACGGGUAGCUGGUCUGAGAGGAUGUCCAGCCACACUGGGACUGAGACACGGCCCAGACUCCUACGGGAGGCAGCAGUAGGGAAUCUUGCGCAAUGAGCGAAAGCUUGACGCAGCGACGCCGCGUGCGGGAUGAAGGCCCUCGGGUCGUAAACCGCUUUCAGCAGGGACGAAACUGACGGUACCUGCAGAAGAAGCCCCGGCCAACUACGUGCCAGCAGCCGCGGUAAUACGUAGGGG